GCCAGGGAUCGAACCCACAACCUCAUGGUUCCUAGUCGGAUUCGUUAACGACUGAGCCACGAUGGGAACUCCCAAGUACACCUUCUUCUAACCUAUUGGAGUGAUCUUGGGAUCUAAACUCCUGAGGAUGGAGGAUUUAGAAGAGAUGAUUCAAGUGGAGUUUCCCUAGUCCUCACCGGCGCAACGUACCUCUUCCUCCUGUCAAGAACUUUCUCGUCUCUCUCAUCAAGCCUGGCUGAAAAACCCUCACGCGAGCCAGCAAACAAGUGAAGGCAAUGACAUUUUUUAACAGCAUGACCCAGGUCAGCAAACCCUAGACAAGUUGCCAUGAUGACGGGGAUGGUGUGUGCCUGCUGGUUCGAACCUUUCUUGUCAUUUCUGUUACAAAACACAGCUAUUUCCUGUUCUGGGAAAGCUUGGAGGGGCAAGAAAAAGGAUGACAGGAAGAGAAGAGAUCCUCCGGAGAAAAUCUGGCAAAGGCUCUUGGAGGAUCUACAAUUUCUCCCUCUCAGGCAAGACUCUCUACCAAGGGUGGUUGCCAUGAGGAUGAGCCACCGCCAUCCAACUUACAAGGAACAUAACUGACCAGGAGUCAUGACUUCUGUGCUCUGAAAUCCAUCUCUGCAUCACGCCAUCCACAAGCUACUCCAGGGCAGUUACCAAGACUACCAAGGCAAACCUAUCCCUGGGAGAUGAAAAAUUCACCUGACAGGGGACUUUGGCUCAAAGGCUCUCCAACAACCUUGCCAAACUCUCUUAAAAGAGCAGAGAACUCUAGCACGCUUCCCCUCAACCUUCUAUCCUAGUCUCUCUUCUUCACCUGGGGUCAGAUUCACAUUACAACCUGACAGCAUUCCCAGGCUUCUAACAGCUCCCUCCCCAUUCCCCACCCACCCUACUCCCCCAAUGCAACAAAGAACAGAAUACUCAAAAAGGCCCUGCAUUUGACUGAAUGUUUUGCUGUAGCUGACUUGAAAUUCUUAAUAUGUUAUUUCUGAAAAAAGGGGACCCACAUUUUUCACUUUGUACUGGACACUGGUCUGGUUCACAGGGGCUGUUUUAAUAAAUCUCUUGUCUGGCUAGUUCUGCACCAGUGUUUCCUUCUUGGAGGACCCAGACUGACACCCCAGAUAUGAGUAUGAUGCUUCAUCAUUUCAUGUAAGCCUCUGCUCAACGGCCACCUCCUCAGAGAAGCUUCCUUUGCUGUCCUAAAUAAAGGAUACCCCACCCAACACAGUCCCCCUCUCUCUCUCUCUCAUUAUCUUGUUUUUAUUUUCUUCAUAGCGCCAUCUAAUUUUACUGCAUAUUUUUAUUUAUUGUUUGUUUUAUCUUCCCUUGAGAAUGUAAGCCAUACAGGGACAAAGACUUUGGUUUGUUUCGUGUUGUACCCCAGCACCUAUAACAAAGCCAGGCACAUAAUAGGUAAGUACAUCUUGCAAAUGUACGUCACAGACCUAUAAAAUAUAACAUUUCAAAAAUACAGGCCAGAAAUGAUGAAAGACUCCAAAGCCAAAGCAGGAGGCAUGACAGCAAAUACUGCAAUUAUCCAGAAGGAAACUGAAUCUUGACAUAGCUGCACAGGGCCCUUGGGCUGAGAUUUUAAUGCCCAAGUGAGGAUGGAUGAUGUAGUCUAGACACAUGCAAGGUAGGGAAACUGGAACUGAGAUACCUGCAUAUAGUCGGAAUUCUUAAAAACCUCCUUCCACAUGAAAGUAGGCCUAGAAAAACUAGCACUGCUCCCUAGUAACUCAGGGAAGAGCUCAGUAAAUCUGUAUUCUUCCCUAGUCUCAGUGUGAAAAAAAAAAUGUAUCUCAUAAAAAAUCAAAACACCAAGCCUGUGCCAUGCACAAGUGCGUGGCCCAAAUUUACAUUCUUUAAAUUGUGCAAGAAUCCUGAGCUGACAAAUCACCAUAAAAAUAUUUCCAGGACCAGAGAAACCUUUGCAGAAAUAAACCCAAAUUGCUCUGUAGAAGUAUUUUCAUAACUCAAGAUUCAUGACUCCCUCAGAAUAAGGGGCGCAACCCCUGCUAAACAAACCAGACAAAGAACCAAACCAGUUCAAGGGGAGAGGCCACAUACAUAACAAGUAGAAUUAGCACCUUAAGAACUGAUGGUAGUAGAAUAAUCUGAUGGAGUUAUAAACUAAUUAUAUUUAAAAGUAUUUUUAAGUGAAAGGAAGAAUAAAAACUAUAAUGAAAGAACCAGACUCUAUGAAAAAAGAAAUAGAUGGCUUUGGAAAAAAAAUAGAAAUUUUAAAAUUAAAAAUACAGGAUUGAGUUGAAUAUUAGAUACAGCUAAAAAGAGAAUUAGUAUCAUGGAAUAUAGGUCUGAAGAAAGUAGUCAUAAUGUAGUAGAGAAAAAAAAUAGAAAAUGUGAAAGAGAGGUUAUGAGACAUGGAGAGUAUGUUGAGAAAAUAAAAUAUACUUUUAACUGGAAUUCCCAGAGGGAAAAAGUAGGAAAUUGUGAGAGAGACAAUAUUAAAAUGAUAAUGACUCAGAAUUUAACAGAAUUUAAGUAAUACCCAUGUUGUUCAUUUGAACUAUCAUGAGUCCCAAGUAGAAUUCAAAAGAAACACACACACACAUAUCUGCACACAUUGUGGUAAACUGCAGAACACCAGAGUGGAAGAGAAAGUCAUGAAAUAAUCAGAGAGAAAAAGAGGUUACCAACCCAAUAUUAGUCAAGGACUUUUCAUCAAUGCCACAGAAGCAAGAAGAUAAUGGAAUAACAUAUUCAAUGUGGUAAAAGAAAAUAAAUGUCAAACUAAUAUUCUGUAUCUAACUAAAUUACUGCUCAAAAACGGAGGUGAACAAAGAUAUACCCAUACAAAGAAAAGAAAGGAAUAUCCAAUUCACAGAAGUUCCCUGAAAGAAAUAUUAAACAAUAAUAAUGUAUUUUCAGUAAUAAUAUAUUUCAGUAUAAAGUAAAUUAAAGAAAAGUAAGAUAAACAAUGAUGGGGGGGUUAGAAAUUAUAAACAGCUUGGAACUAAAACAAUAGAGAGCAAUAAUAUGGAAGUAUUAUUACCCUAAAUUAUUUUAAUAUUCAUGCAUUAUUUGGUAGAAGAACAACAAUUUUGAUCAAUUUUUAACAUUUUUAAAGCUAAAAUGCAAAUUAUAAUUUUACGGGAAAUGAGGGUGGGGAUAGGGAAGAAGAAAUGUGUUACUUCGAUAGUAAAAGAGAAGAGGAAAGGGGAAAAAAGACCACUCCAAUGAAACAUGUACAGAUAAAUAAAUUCAAAAACAAUUUGCCACAAGCAGAUCCUCAUUAAAGGAAAUUCAAAGAGUGUAUUUUAAGCCAUGGAAUUGAUGACAGAUGUAUAACAUAUAAAAGGAGACAGAAGAAAGAACUGAGAAGAUGCAAGAAGAUACAGGAUAUAAGAUCCCAAGCUAUAAGAAAGAAUUAUGA